CCCUUAGAUGUUCUGGGCCGCACACGCGCUACACUGAAGGAGGCAGCGUGUACUCCUGGAUCGAAAGAUUUGGGUAACCCGCGAAUCUCCUUCGUGCUAGGGAUUGGGGUUUGCAAUUAUCCUUCAUGAACGAGGAAUUCCCAGUAAGUGCAAGUCAUAAGCUUGCGCUGACUACGUCCCUGCCCUUUGUACACACCGCCCGUCGCUACUACCGAUUGAAUGAUUUAGUGAGGACUUCGGACUGGGACCGAUGCGGCUUUCGGGCUGCGUCGGUAUUCUGGAAAGAUGUCCAAACUGUAUCAUUUAGAGGAAGUAAAANUCGUAACA
rnacentral:rRNA from 1 species